GAUGAACGCUAGCGGCAGGCUUAACACAUGCAAGUCGAGGGGUAUGCCGAUUUAUCGGCAGAGACCGGCGCACGGGUGCGUAACGCGUAUGCAAUCUACCUUUCACAGAGGGAUAGCCCAGAGAAAUUUGGAUUAAUACCUCAUAGUAUAGCGGUUUCGCAUGAAACCACUAUUAAAGUUCCAACGGUGAAAGAUGAGCAUGCGUCCCAUUAGCUAGAUGGUAAGGUAACGGCUUACCAUGGCUACGAUGGGUAGGGGUCCUGAGAGGGAGAUCCCCCACACUGGUAGUGAGACACGGACCAGACUCCUACGGGAGGCAGCAGUGAGGAAUAUUGGUCAAUGGACGCAAGUCUGAACCAGCCAUGCCGCGUGCAGGAUGACGGUCCUAUGGAUUGUAAACUGCUUUUGUACGAGAAGAAACAACAUUACGUGUAAUGUCUUGACGGUAUCGUAAGAAUAAGGAUCGGCUAACUCCGUGCCAGCAGCCGCCGCUGUAA
rnacentral:rRNA from 1 species